rnacentral:rRNA from 1 species
GACGAACGCUGGCGGCGUGCUUAACACAUGCAAGUCGAACGGAGAGGCCCUGCAUUUGGGGGGUGCGCGAGUGUCUAACGUGGGAGUAACACCUGAGGGACCAGCACUGGGUGUGCGGAUAACUUCAUGAAACUGGGUCGAAUCCCGGAAAGGAGCUCCUUCUCCAUUGUGGGGUUUGUAAAGUUUCGGCAGUUGGGUAUGGACUCGCCGCUUAUCAGAUUGUUGGUGGGGUAGUGGCUUACCCAGGCUGUGACGGGUAGCCGGACUGAGAGGGUGACCGGCCCCAUUGGGACUGAGAUACGGCACAGACUAAAACGGGAGGCAGCAGUGGGGAAUAGUGCACAAUGGGCGGAAGCCUGAUGCAGCAAAGCCGCGUGGGGGAUGACGGGCUUCGGUUUGUAACCCGAUUUCGUCUUUGAUGAAGCGUGAGUGACGGUAAUGGGUAAAGAAGCACCGGCUAAAUACGUG